rnacentral:rRNA from 1 species
GAUGAACGCUGGCGGCGUGCCUAAUACAUGCAAGUCGAGCGAACGGACGAGAAGCUUGCUUCUCUGAUGUUAGCGGCGGACGGGUGAGUAACACGUGGAUAACCUACCUAUAAGACUGGGAUAACUUCGGGAAACCGGAGCUAAUACCGGAUAAUAUUUUGAACCGCAUGGUUCAAAAGUGAAAGACGGUUUUGCUGUCACUUAUAGAUGGAUCCGCGCUGCAUUAGCUAGUUGGUAAGGUAACGGCUUACCAAGGCAACGAUGCAUAGCCGACCUGAGAGGGUGAUCGGCCACCCUGGAACUGGGACACGGUCCAGACUCCUAAGGGAGGCAGCAGUAGGGAAUCUUCCGCAAUGGUCGAAAGCCUGACGGAGCAACGCCGCGUGAGUGAUGAAGGUCUUCGGAUCGUAAAACUCUGUUAUUAGGGAAGAACAUAUUUGUAAGUAACUGUGCACAUCUUGACGGUACCUAAUCAGAAAGCCACGGCUAACUACGUG